GAUGAACGCUGGCGGCGUGCUUAACACAUGCAAGUCGAACGAGAAGUGGAGACGGAAACCUUCGGGCGGAAGACUUUAUUUCGAGUGGCGGACGGGUGAGUAACGCGUGGGUAACCUGCCUCAUACAGGGGGAUAACAGUUGGAAACGACUGUUAAUACCGCAUAAGACCACAGCACCGCAUGGUGCGGGGGUAAAAACUCCGGUGGUAUGAGAUGGACCCGCGUUCGAUUAGCCAGUUGGCGGGGUAACGGCCCACCAAAGCGACGAUCGAUAGCCGAUCUGAGAGGAUGACCGGCCACAUUGGGACUGAGACACGGCCCAAACUCCUACGGGAGGCAGCAGUGGGGAAUAUUGCACAAUGGGGGAAACCCUGAUGCAGCGACGCCGCGUGAGUGAAGAAGUAUUUCGGGAUGUAAAGCUCUAUCAGCAGGGAAGAAAAUGACGGUACCUGAGUAAGAAGCCCCGGCUAACUACGUG
rnacentral:rRNA from 1 species